rnacentral:rRNA from 1 species
GACGAACGCUGGCGGCGUGCUUAACACAUGCAAGUCGAACGGAAAGGCCCUGCUUUUGUGGGGUGCUCGAGUGGCGAACGGGUGAGUAACACGUGAGUAACCUGCCCUUGACUUUGGGAUAACUUCAGGAAACUGGGGCUAAUACCGGAUAGGAGCUCCUGCUGCAUGGUGGGGGUUGGAAAUUUUCGGCGGUUGGGGAUGGACUCGCGGCUUAUCAGCUUGUUGGUUGGGUAGUUGCUUACCAAGGCUUUGACGGGUAGCCGGCCUGAGAGGGUGACCGGCAACAUUGGGACUGAGAUACGGACCAGACUCCUACGGGAGGCAGCAGUGGGGAAUAUUGCACAAUGGGAGGAAGCCUGAUGCAGCAACGCCGCGUGCGGGAUGACGGCCUUCGGGUUGUAAACCGCUUUCGCAUGUGACGAAGCGUGAGUGACGGUAAUGGGUAAAGAAGCACCGGCUAACUACGUG